AUUGAACGCUGGAGGCAUGCCUUACGCAUGCAAGUCGAACGGUAACGGGCCUUCGGGUGCCGACGAGUGGCGAACGGGUGAGUAAUGUAUCGGAACGUACCUUUCAGUGGGGGAUAACGUAGCGAGAGUUACGCUAAUACCGCAUAUUCUGUGAGCAGGAAAGCAGGGGAUCGCAAGACCUUGCGCUGAUUGAGCGGCCGAUAUCAGAUUAGCUAGUUGGUGAGGUAAAGGCUCACCAAGGCGACGAUCUGUAGCGGGUCUGAGAGGAUGAUCCGCCACACUGGAACUGAGACACGGUCCAGACUCCUACGGGAGGCAGCAGUGGGGAAUUUUGGACAAUGGGGGCAACCCUGAUCCAGCCAUGCCGCGUGAGUGAAGAAGGCCUUCGGGUUGUAAAGCUCUUUCGGCCGGGAAGAAAUCGCAUGGGUUAAUACCCUGUGCGGAUGACGGUACCGGCAUAAGAAGCACCGGCUAACUACGUGCCAGCAGCCGCAGUAAGAC
rnacentral:rRNA from 1 species